UGCGUAGGUGGUCAUGUGUGUCGGAUGUGAAAUCCCACGGCUUAACCGUGGAACUGCAUUCGAAACUGCGUGGCUAGAGUGUAGGAGGGGUGAGCGGAAUUCUUGGUGUAGCGGUGAAAUGCGUUGAUAUCAAGAAGAACACCGGCGGCGAAGGCGGCUCACUGGGAUACUACUGACACUGAGGCACGAAAGCUAGGGGAGCGAAGA
rnacentral:rRNA from 1 species